rnacentral:rRNA from 1 species
UGGUAGNCGCACGAGCGCACCCUUGUCAUUAGUUGCUACGAAAGGGCACUCUAAUGAGACUGCCGGUGACAAACCGGAGGAAGGUGGGGAUGACGUCAAGUCCUCAUGGCCCUUAUGGGUAGGGCUUCACACGUCAUACAAUGGUACAUACAGAGGGCCGCCAACCCGCGAGGGGGAGCUAAUCCCAGAAAGUGUAUCGUAGUCCGGAUUGUAGUCUGCAACUCGACUGCAUGAAGUUGGAAUCGCUAGUAAUCGCGGAUCAGCAUGUCGCGGUGAAUACGUUCCCGGGUCUUGUACACACCGCCCGUCACACCAUGGGAGCGGGUUUUACCAGAAGUAGGUAGCUUAACCGCAAGGAGGGCGCUUACCACGGUAGGAUUCGUGACUGGGGUGAAGUCGUAACAAGGUAGCCGUAUCGGAAGGUGCGGCUGGAUCACCUCCU